rnacentral:tRNA from 1 species
GCAGAGGUGCCAGAGAUUUAUGGGGUUGAUUUAGGUUCAAUUUAACGGCCAUUGUUGUCCCUUUGCU